AGAGUUUGAUCAUGGCUCAGGACGAACGCUGGCGGCGUGCUUAACACAUGCAAGUCGAGCGAGAAAGCACCUUCGGGUGUGAGUACAGCGGCGAACGGGUGAGUAACACGUGGGCAACCUGCCCUAGAGACUGGGAUAACGUCCCGAAAGGGACGCUAAUACCGGAUGAUGCGCGAUCUGCCAAGUAGGUCGCGCCAAAUGGUAGCUUCGGCUUCUGCUCUGGGAUGGGCCCGCGCCGGAUUAGCUUGUUGGUGGGGUAACGGCCUACCAAGGCGACGAUCCGUAGCUGGUCUGAGAGGACGAUCAGCCACACUGGGACUGAGACACGGCCCAGACUCCUACGGGAGGCAGCAGUGGGGAAUCUUGCGCAAUGGGCGAAAGCCUGACGCAGCAACGCCGCGUGAGCGAAGACGGCCUUCGGGUUGUAAAGCUCUGUCAGGAGGGACGAAGCCACUCAGGUGAAUAGCCGAGAGGGUGACGGUACCUCCAGAGGAAGCCCCGGCUAACUACGUGCCAGCAGCCGCGGUAAUACGUAGGGGGCAAGCGUUGUCCGGAAUCAUUGGGCGUAAAGCGCGUGUAGGCGGCCAUCCAAGUCCGAUGUGAAAGCUCGGGGCUCAACCCCGAGUCUGCAUUGGAAACUGUAUGGCUUGAGUCCGGAAGAGGAGACUGGAAUUCCUGGUGUAGCGGUGAAAUGCGCAGAUAUCAGGAAGAACACCGGUGGCGAAGGCGGGUCUCUGGGACGGUACUGACGCUGAGACGCGAAAGCGUGGGGAGCAAACAGGAUUAGAUACCCUAGUAGUCC
rnacentral:rRNA from 1 species